UACGUAGGGGGCGAGCGUUGUCCGGAUUCAUUGGGCGUAAAGAGCUCGUAGGCGGCUUGGCAAGUCGGGUGUGAAAACUUCAGGCUCAACCUCGAGACGUCGACGGAAACCAUCUGGCUAGAGUCCGGAAGAGGAGAGUGGAAUUCCUGGUGUAGCGGUGAAAUGCGCAGAUAUCGAGAGGAACACCUGCGGCGAAGGCGGGUUGCUGGGCCGACACUGACGCUGAUGCGCGAAAGCCAGGGGAGCGAACGGG
rnacentral:rRNA from 1 species